AUUGAACGCUGGCGGCAGGCCUAACACAUGCAAGUCGAACGAGUGGCGGACGGGUGAGUAAUGUCUGGGAAACUGCCUGAUGGAGGGGGCUAACUACUGGAAACGGUAGCUAAUACCGCAUACCAUAAGAUGUGCCCAGGUGGGAUUAGCUAGUUGGUGGGGUAACGGCUCACCAAGGCCACGAUCCCUAGCUGUUCUGAGAGGGUUACCAGCCAGACUGGAACUGAGACACGGUCCAUACUCCGAAGGGGGGCAGCAGUGGGGAAUAUUGCACAAGGGGGGCAAGCCUGAUACAGCCAUGUCGCGUGUAUGAAGAAGGCCUUCGGGUUGUAAAGUACUUUCAGCGGGGAGGCGUUACCCGCAGAAGAAGCACCGGCUAACUACGUGCCAGCAGCCGCGGUAAUUC
rnacentral:rRNA from 1 species